UACGUAGGGGGCUAGCGUUGUCCGGAAUCAUUGGGCGUAAAGCGCGUGUAGGCGGCCCGGUAAGUCCGCUGUGAAAGUCGGGGGCUCAACCCUCGGAAGCCGGUGGAUACUGUCAGGCUAGAGUCCGGAAGAGGCGAGUGGAAUUCCUGGUGUAGCGGUGAAAUGCGUAGAUAUCAGGAGGAAUACCGAUGGCGAAGGCAGGUCUCUGGGCUGACACUGACGCUCAUGCACGAAAGCGUGGGGAGCAAACAGG
rnacentral:rRNA from 1 species